rnacentral:siRNA from 1 species
AGAAAACGCUAUUGUAUGUGACCG